AUUGCAGUAAGCCUGGUUGUGAGGUGUGAACACCUUGUUGUGAGAAGGAAUCAACUCCAGGCUUAAACAGAACAUCUAGGGUCUCCUCCCAUGGCAGUGGUGAGCCUUGGAAAGUGUUUCAGGAUUCACCAGUUGGCUUGUCAAAUUAGCAUCAGAGACUGCUUUGGAUGUAAAAUCAUAAAUCAUUUGGUGACCUGAAGGGGAUAAAGUAUUGGCUAAAAGGAAAGUUUAACUUGAAGAGAAGCCUUUUCUGUGCUCUGGUGCCACCUUUAAGGGGGAGGUUGGCCUCUGUGGGCUGACCUCUCCUCUGCAGGCUCUGCAUCCCUUCACUAUGAAGUCAUGGAGGUGCUACUGAGCUUCCACGAAACAGCAGCAAAGCAAGGAUAUUUAUGAGUCCUUAAUGCCAAGAUCUGAUGCCCCCACUAUCCAGCAACUGCCAUGGUUUUGACUCCAGACCAUCCUUAAUGGAGGGCUGUUCAGAAAACCAAGUUUAAUCGAACAAACAGUGGUGGGGUAACACCUCACAGACAAGUGUGUUCAUUAAAUUAAUCAUCAGGUCCUUUGUGCUGCCUCCACCACUUGGUUCUCAGGAAAUUUGACUUCUGUAUCAGUGCUUGGCUUAGGUCAAAUUCCAUUUAGGUCUUUCUGUUGUGUGAAAAAUCUUUAGCAGCCAAAGAGCAAGGAAAGAUUCAGCAAAGGAAGGAUGUGGCAAACCAUCUACUUCACU